rnacentral:rRNA from 1 species
UACGUAGGAUGCAAGCGUUGUCCGGAAUUAUUGGGCGUAAAGAGUUCGUAGGCGGUUGCCUAAGUCUGGUGUUAAAUACAGGAGCUCAACUCCUGCAUGGCACUGGAAACUGGGCGGCUAGAGUGUGGUAGAGGUCACGGGAAUUCCAGGUGUAGCGGUGAAAUGCGUAGAUAUCUGGAGGAACACCAGUGGCGAAAGCGCUCUACUGGGCUAUUACUGACACUCAGAGACGAAAGCUAGGGGAGCAAAUGGG